AUUGAACGCUGGCGGCAGGCCUAACACAUGCAAGUCGAACGGUAACAGGAAGCAGCUUGCUGCUUUGCUGACGAGUGGCGGACGGGUGAGUCAUGUCUGGGAAACUGCCUGAUGGAGGGGGAUAACUACUGGAAACGGUAGCUAAUACCGCAUAACGUCGCAAGACCAAAGAGGGGGACCUUCGGGCCUCUUGCCAUCGGAUGUGCCCAGAUGGGAUUAGCUAGUAGGUGGGGUAACGGCUCACCUAGGCGACGAUCCCUAACUGGUCUGAGAGGAUGACCAGCCACACUGGAACUGAGACACGGUCCAGACUCCUACGGGAGGCAGCAGUGGGGAAUAUUGCACAAUGGGCGCAAGCCUGAUGCAGCCAUGCCGCGUGUAUGAAGAAGGCCUUCGGGUUGUAAAGUACUUUCAGCGGGGAGGAAGGGAGUAAAGUUAAUACCUUUGCUCAUUGACGUUACCCGCAGAAGAAGCACCGGCUAACUCCGUG
rnacentral:rRNA from 1 species